GGGUGUGUCGAUAGCGGUGAGGAAAUACCUGGUCACAUCCCGAACCCAGAAGUCAAGCUCACUUGCGGCGAAGGUAGUGCUCGGGGGACUGAGUGUGAGAAUAGCAAGAUGCACCCA
rnacentral:rRNA from 1 species